rnacentral:misc_RNA from 1 species
GAGUCGAGUCUCGUCGUCGCGUCGCAGACUGACUCUGAUUACUCGGGCCGUGAGAGCGAGCGCCGAGCGUACACGGCCUACAUACAUACGUAUACGCGAGUCCUUUUCUCUCUCUCUCUCCCUCUCUCCUCCCUCCUUUUUUGUCUCGCGCGGCUCUCUGUUCUGGCAUUUGCGUGUGUGCACAACCCCCGCAACGCCGCGACUACCACCGUUGUUAGCUCAUCUCUCGCUACUUUGCAGUCCGCGCGUGAGGCACGCGCGACAGUUAUUCAGUCGGUAGUCGCGCGCGGGCAGUAAAAUCAUAAACCCGUAAUAAACGUAGCGCAUACGUAGUAGCAGUAGCAGUAGUGCAGUGGUUAAACGACGAUAUCGCGCCUAUAAUGUCUCGACUUUUUGUAUAAAUAAUAGAUCGUGACACGGGCCGUGGCUGUGGCGGCUACGGCUACGGCGACGGCGGCAACGUGCUUGCAACGUGGCGCGCGAGUGAGUGUGUGCCGCAGCAGUGCAGUGUGUUUAGCAGCAGCUUACAUUAGCCAUACUGUAUAAUACCAUUUACUGCGCUUACUACUGGCCGAUACAAUUUUUACCCUUCGCUUUUGCGUGCAUAAUUUAUCGCGACCGUAAACUACGGCGACUAAGCGCUCACAUGUGCAUGUGCAGCAAUAGCAGCAUAAGUAAAUGAGCGAAUAUCGUCGUCGUCGUAAUUGAGCCAUGUGCGUGGGUGUACAACGUGCAGCGCUGCAGCUGCAGCCGUACUAACGUGUUGCGCGCACCACCGACCGACGAGUAAGCUGAAAGCUCUCUGCCCGAAACCCAGGCCUGCAGGGAGAGCUUCGAUUUCACGAGGAGAGCUUUCGUACGUGCAGUCGUCGUUUCUGCUGCUGGCCUCUUGUUGUUGUUAUCGCGGGUGCGUCGUGUGUCAUGUUGUGCUAAAGCGUGAAGAAAAAAAGGAAAUAAUAAUAAUGAGUGUGAAAGCUUCGAUUACCGUGAAGAAAACAGCGUGUCGAAAGUCGACGCGUUCGUGCUGCGAUCGUUUCUACUGAGUCGCGUUGGGCAAUUAUCGACGACACAUCUAUACCCGAGUGAUCUCCUAUAUGUGAAAUUUCGUUCGGGCAGCUCGAGAGAAAGCUCAGGUGGCGAUAAAAAGUUUUGCGAGCUUUCGACGAAGAUCUUCAACGCCGGGGGGGAGCGCCACCGAGUCCAAGCUCAAGCCCGCGCGAUGUGAUCAGCCUCUCGCGUCGCCUAUAGCGGAUAAUCCAAGUCGAAGGCGUGUGUAGCUGCUCUGCUGCUGCUGCACACACUGCAUCGAGCGUCGCGUCGAGUGUCUCGCUGAGCAGGACAUGGUCGUUGUAGGUGGGACGGCCAGGCGAUGACGUUCCAGCCACGUCGAGCUCUCGUUGCGUCCCACCGAGUCCACGUGGACUUUCGGAAGACUUCGUCGUCGGCCUCGUCGCUGAGCUGCGUCCGGACCAAGAGGAAGCGCGCCAGCCGCAACGCCCGCUGCUCGAAAUCAAAGGCAGUUUUGGCACGUGAGUCUUGCGGCUCACGGCUGCCGAGACUAACGGAAGAAGCCGAAGAAGCAGAAUCGGAAGAAGAAGAAGAAGAGGGAGAAAGAGUGGUGACGGAGGAAAAAUCAUCGUCGCUCUGUCGUUACCUACGGACUAGGAAUGAGGGACCGUGGCAAGCACCAGUACAACUCUCACGCGCAUCAUCUUCACCAUCAUCAUCGGGAUCACUUUCAUCUGCAGGCUAUGCCCCUCGAAGAGGUCCAAGGACUCUUGCCACGAGCUCAGUCAAAGACAGGUAACCGUGGCUCGCUCAACGUAACGAUCACUCAGGUCGGAGUUGGUCCAGGCGUCGUCGGUGGACCAUCCGGCAAUGCGUCGGCCAAAAGCAACGACCUGUUUCAUCUGGAGCCGACAGUUGAUACCAGGCCCACACCCUCGCCCCUGUCCGACACCACCACUCUGCAGUCCGACAAUAUCGACUCGCUCGCUGAUAUUGUUAUAGGAGCCGAUCCCAGGCUGCAAAUCGCAACGGUCGGCGGCGAGCGGAACGCAUGGGAAGGCCGGUAUCGCGUGAAAGAGCAUCGGCGCGCUGGCAAAGCGACCUUUCAAGGCCAAGUCUAUAACUUCCUGGAACGUCCCACGGGAUGGAAAUGCUUCCUUUACCAUUGCUCGGUGUUCAUGGUGGUAUUGGUGUGCCUUAUAUUUAGUGUGUUGUCUACCAUUGAUGAGUACAGUGAUUUCGCGAAUGAAACUUUAUUUUGGAUGGAAAUAUGUUUGGUUGUAUUUUUCGGGGUGGAAUAUUUGGUGAGACUGUGGAGCGCUGGAUGCAGGUCGAAGUACAUGGGAUGCUGUGGACGGAUGAGGUUUAUUCGGAAACCAAUAUGUAUUAUAGAUUUAAUAGUAGUUGUGGCGUCGAUGGUUGUCCUAUCGGUCGGCAGCAAUGGACAAGUCUUCGCUACUUCCGCCAUUCGUGGCAUUAGAUUCCUUCAAAUUUUACGAAUGCUUCACGUAGACCGCCAAGGAGGUACCUGGAGACUCCUCGGCUCAGUAGUUUUUAUUCAUCGUCAAGAGCUAAUUACAACGCUGUACAUUGGUUUCCUCGGCCUCAUAUUUAGCAGUUACUUCGUUUACUUGGCCGAAAAGGACGUGGUCGGGCCUCAAGGAAGGACGGACUUUGCCAGCUACGCCGAUGCUCUGUGGUGGGGCGUGAUAACCGUCACGACGAUAGGCUACGGAGACGCCGUGCCCCAAACUUGGAUGGGAAAAAUAGUGGCCUCCUGCUUCAGCGUGUUCGCCAUUUCCUUCUUCGCGCUUCCAGCGGGCAUCCUCGGUUCCGGCUUCGCGCUCAAAGUCCAGCAGAAGCAGCGCCAGAAGCACUUCAAUCGGCAGAUACCGGCGGCGGCGAUGCUCAUCCAAUGCCUGUGGAGGUGUCACGCCGCCGAGAAAACGACCAACAGCAUUGCCACGUGGAACAUCUACCUGAAGGACACGACUCCGCCGGGACAGCCGACUACACCGCUGAGCAAGUCUCUGAUCAUCCAGGUAGCCAAAAAGGCGAGCGUCCUCAAACGACGCAAGUCCCGCAAUCGCAUGGACGGACAGCAGCUGGACAACGCCCAGCAGCAGGUCGCCAAUUCGCAAACGACGACGAGCUGCCUCGGUACCAAUGUCGCGGCUGGACCAUCGCAACAGCAUCAGCAACAUCAGCAACAGCAGCAACAACAGCAGCAGCAGCCGCACAUAUCCGAUCCACGCCUGGACAACGAGGGCGACGUGAUAUUCUACAUGGAGGAGCCGAAGGCUUGCACGCCCAACAGGGUCAGACGGGAAAAUCGGGGAAGCCUGUUUACUUCGCAGACUAGUUCCGUAACGGAAGCAGCCAGUGAUGAGAUCGACAUCGACAUCGACGAACCCCAACGCGUAACAACAUUGACGGAGGCACACCGGAACGCGAUAAGGGCCAUUCGGAAAAUCAAGUACUUCGUUGCUCGUCGCAAGUUUCAACAGGCACGCAAACCCUAUGAUGUACGGGAUGUCAUUGAGCAGUAUAGCCAAGGUCACCUCAACAUGAUGGUGCGAAUUAAGGAGCUACAAAGGAGGCUUGACCAAACUUUGGGUAAACCGGGCAGCUACCUUGCGGGAAUCGAUCGAGCAGGCAACAUCAAACCAAUGACAAUAGGCGCGCGUCUCUACAGAGUAGAACAGCAGCUGUCCAUAAUGGACAAAAAAUUAGAUCAAUUGAUGUACGUACUGAACGCGGUAGCACAAAAGCAGCAAAUUCCUUUACGUAGCAUCGAGGACGAAGUAUGACUAUCGGCCUUCUAGCUACGCCUUUGAUCAAGAAUCGUAUUGCUAUAAAAAUAUGCGUCAAAAUUUUAAGUUCACAAGUUCAGAAAGAUAAUCUGAACGCCCUGACUAUAUGCAGUAUAUGGACCAUACGUCUGAAAAUCGAUAAAAAUUCACCCAAGAGAAAUAAAAAAAAAUAACAAUAAAAAAUAUCAAGAGUGUAUUCGCGCAGAGUAUUUAAAUUACAUGUAAAUUUUUUCCAAUCAGUUUGAUUUAUUAUCUCUUGUUCGAGAAAAAAAUAUUCAAUGAAAUUGAAUUGCAAGCGAAACUUGUCUAAGCUACGCUCUGUAGUAUACGAAAAUUUCUAUUUGAAAAAAGAAAUUAAAUUUUACUCCAAGUCGCCAAUGAAAAAAAAACAACGAUUUAGCGUACAUGCUUGGGAACUCGUUAUAGUUUUUAACUUAUCAAAGGGUAGGAUAAUAAUCAAUCAUGUAUAUAAAAUUGUUAUAAUUCUGUGAUUUACUUAGUUUUAUUAUUACUUAUAAAUAGUAUUUAAUGUAAAUACUCAGUUUAAUAUUUUAUCGAAUGUUCAGGCUGAUGAGUUACGAAUGACAAAAGUGCGACUGUGCCCUUUUCAUCAUUUAGUACGUAAAUAACAUAAUUUUUAAUAGAUUCAUUGAGACACUGUUUUUGGAAGAAUGGCAUUAUUGAUUGUAAUAACUUCGAAAACUAGUUUAAAUUUAAAUGAACGUCAAAACGUUCGAUUUUCAAUUUUAAGAUUUUCAAUGAAAAAUGACACAUUCAUUGUCAGAUUGUUAUUUCCGCCGUCUUCAUCGAUUAAUCAUUUUAAUAAUAUUAUAAAAUUAUACUUCAUUGUUCAACUUUUUAAUGUUAUCAUAAAAAUUAUGUAAAUGAAGAAAAAAAGUAGAAGUUUAAAAUGAAAGUAGAUGAUAUGAUAAUCAAUAGUUCAACUAUAAAACUUUUCAAUUAAAAAUAUACCAAAAUAUUUUUGGCUUUAUCAGAUGAAAAUAUUUUUACUCGAAGGAUAAUUAAAUUAUAAAAGUUACUCAAUCUUACCAACUUAUAAACUGCGGAUUUAUUUCCAUUAUUGCAGUCUUACUUUACUUCCGCAUGUGUAGAUAAAUUAUAAAUUCCAAAGACGAUUUUAGAUAUUAAAAGUUAAAACUUAUUCAAAAGAAAUUAAAAGAUGUUAUAUAAUUGUUGAUGAUUUUAAAUAUAUCUUUGAUAUCCUAGAAAAUAUGAAAUUAUGGAUCAGUGAAAUGAUUUUUGGCAUUCCCAGUAGUCUUUUAUCUUUGUAGGUAAAUUCUUUCGAGAAUUUAUUUCAAUAAUCUUAGACGAUAGAAAUUCAAGUGCCUAUAACUGGUGUCUGGUGCAAAAAUAUGCUUAAUUUUUCGUUCGAGCAUUUCAAAAGUCAUACUUUUUAUUUCAUAAUACAAAAAUUUUAUUUUUUAUUUAAAAAUCGCUCUUUUUUUUAAAGUUCCUAAAAAGUAUUUCCGUAAUCGAAGUAAAUGGGUCCACGCAUAAAGAAUUUCAAAAAUUUGUUUGCUACGAUAGACCUAAAUCUACGGAUCUAUAAUGAAAAUUGUAAAGAAUGAAAAGUAAAUUUUUCAUCAUAAUAUCUGUAAAUAUUCAUUAUAAAAUAUUUUAUAUAGUUUUCGACGUUUUCUGCACCAUUGCUGUACUUGCAAUUGCUUAUGCAAAACUAGACUUACGAAGAAAUCUUGUAAAAUACACGAAUUAAUUCUCAAAAAACGAUGUUUUUUCUGGGAUCAAAGCAAAAUCUGAACUCAAAUACCAGACAUGUACGAUUGUAUGCGACUCAAUGAUGAAAAAAUUUAUGAUAAUACCUCGCUAUGCACAAUAGUAAAUAGAUGAAAAAUGUCUGCUUAUUAAUAUGAAAGGUGCCUUUAGCCUUACAAAAAAAACUCUAGACCAGAAAAAAAUAUUAUAGAUUAAAAUCUCAAUAAGAAACACGUGCAUUAAGUAUCGAAUGCUUUUUUCUAACAUAUUGUUGUCGAAUUUAUGAUAAUCAUAAGUUUUUUUAUCAACAACUAGUCCAUGUGUAAGCUCUUCUACGUAAUAUAUUUGUAGGACAGUAAUAAGUAAUACGAUUUAAAAACUAACUUAUAUAACUACGCAAGCCUUAAACUCUGCGCUAAAUAGUUAUUAAGACUACGUCGAAUUAUUUAUUUAUUCUGCUUACUAAAAAUGAAAAUAAUAAAAUGUACAUUAAACUAAUUACUUUGUUAGUCAUUAAUUGGUAAAUUAUUACAUUGAAUUUGUAGUUUUGAUCCUAAUCUCAAUUUAGAUCAUAACUUUUUCGAAAAUUAUGCACAAUACUUUAAUUUAAAAAUAUUUGUAUUUUUUUGUAGUCUUUUCC